rnacentral:rRNA from 1 species
UACAGAGGUCUCAAGCGUUGUUCGGAUUCAUUGGGCGUAAAGGGUGCGUAGGUGGCGCUGUAAGUCGGGUGUGAAAUUUCGGAGCUUAACUCCGAAACUGCAUUCGAUACUGCGGUGCUUGAGGACUGGAGAGGAGACUGGAAUUCAUGGUGUAGCAGUGAAAUGCGUAGAGAUGUGGAGGAAUACCGAUGGCGAAGGCAGCCUCCUGGGCCAACACUGACGCUCAUGCACGAAAGCGUGGGGAGCAAACAGG